rnacentral:miRNA from 1 species
UUUGCGAACGACCCUGUCCAA